AGAAGAGAGAAGAGAGAAAAGAGAAAAAUAUCUCCGAGUCGGUCAAUAAAUAUAAAUCCAAAGCCAAACACUAUACACCGGUUCAGUGUGCCCUAAUCCACUUGCUCUCUCUUGCGAAGAUCAUGUCUGGGAUGUACGGUCAAGACGGCGGCGAAUCUGCUCCUCCCUCUUACGGAGAUGGUGGAUAUGGUGGUGGAGGAGGAGGAGGAUACGGAGGUUAUGGAGGCGACGGUGGUCGUAGUAGUGGGAGUCAUGGAGGCCGAGGAGGUAGUGGUUAUGGAGGGGGCGGUAGAGGAGGAAGCGGCGGCGGCGGCUACGGAGGAAAUUCACAAUAUCGAGGAGGAGGUGGUGGUGGUGGAGGAGGAUAUCACGGAGCGGAUCGCGGCGGCCGUGGCGGCGGCAGCGGUGGCGGAAGCAGAGGUGGUGGUAGAGGAGGAAGUGGCAGGGAUGGUGACUGGGUUUGCCCUAAUCCAAGCUGUGGUAAUUUGAACUUUGCCAGAAGAGUUGAGUGUAACAAAUGUGGUGCUCCCUCUCCUGCGGGUGGCAAUGAUCGUGGUGGUAACAGUGGGGGUGGUGGGUAUAAUAAAGGAGGAAGUGGAGGUGGAUAUGGAAGUAAUCGAGGGGGUAGAGGUGGAAAUUAUGAUGGGGCUAGAAGCAGCAAUUACAAUGGAGGAAGAGGUGGAGAUUAUGAUGGGAGGACUGGUGGCAGCAGUAGAGGGGGUUCGUAUGGUGGUAAUCAAGAAAUGGGGGAUGGUGUCUAUGAUCAAGCUCCUCCACUUGCACCUCCUUAUAGUGGUGCUGGUGGAAACUAUCCGCCCCCUCCAAACUCAUAUGGGGGUGACACAAAGUAUGGAACGGAUGCCGUUCCUCCACCCUCUAGCUAUACUGGUGGUCCAACAUCAUACCCUCCUUCCUACGGUGGCCCUGUUGGCGGUUAUGGCGGUGAUGCCAUGGCGGAACCUAGAAGUGGCAGUAGGGGUGCUCCUGGUGGAUAUUCUGCUGGCGGUCCUAGGCAUCAGGGUGGUGGUCAUGGCGCUCCUGCUGAUGCUUCUGUCAAAAUCAAGCAGUGUGAUGGGAAUUGUGGGGAUUCUUGUGACAACUCCAGAAUAUAUAUAUCAAAUCUGCCUCCAGAUGUGACCAUAGAAGAACUUAGAGAUCUCUUUUCCGGCAUUGGACAAGUUGGAAGAAUUAAGCAGAAGCGAGGUUAUAAAGAUCAGUGGCCCUGGAACAUAAAAAUAUACACAGAUGAGAAGGGAAACAAUAAGGGAGAUGCAUGUUUGUCUUAUGAAGAUCCAUCUGCUGCUCAUUCUGCUGGAGGGUUUUUCAACGAUUACGAUAUGAGAGGCUAUAAAAUCAGUGUUGCAAUGGCAGAAAAAACAGCUCCCAAGGCUCCACCGUCAUACAAUGGAGGUGGUGGUAGAGGUGGCUAUGGGGGUGGAGACCGCAGAAAUAAUUACAGAGAAGGUGGUUCAGGGCCAGAUAGACACCAACACGGGGGAAAUCGUUCUCGCCCAUACUGAGGAUGUCUAAGCAUUUUAAUGUACUAAGAAUUUGUGGUCUAAGGGAUUUUGUUGUAUUCCAUUGGCAAGUUGUUUCUGAACUGGAGAUUAAGAGAGACGAGCGGAUUAACUCCUAUAUUGCUUGCUGCUUAAGGUAGGUUGAUAAUUUCAGGAAAUGCUUCCAUGAGGUCGGAUGCAGUGUCGUACUGAAUUUCUGGCGGUGCUAUGCGAGAAAUGACGUCUGUCGCUGCUUCGACAUGGAAUGCGGCCAAAGGGCACCAAACAGUUUGAUAUGCUUUUCUGCAAACGGGAACUGUUCUUGGGUUGGCAGGCUGGUAGGCUGGUAGGCUGGUAGGCUGGUUUUCUACUCCCCUUGGGGUCUGCCAACGUCUCGACAUUCUCACGAUGGCAAGUCAUAGUAGUGGGUGGUUUUGGGGAGGAGUCCUAUUCAACGGCUAGUUGACACCCUUUUGUGGGGCUGCUGGGUGUUUGUCAUCGUCACCAUUAGGUGCUACAAUGCGGUUUGGCUCAUUCUUCCUAUCUUAGUUGGUACGGAUGAAAAUAAUGUAUAUACAUGUUUGUAGAAACCUUUUUCUUAGCAGAGAUAGCAUCGAUUAAUGAA